AAACCAACAGGGAUUGCCCCAGUAACGGCGAGUGAAGCGGCAAGAGCUCAAAUUUGAAAUCUGGCCUCCCCCGGGGGUCCGAGUUGUAAUUUGCAGAGGAUGCUUCGGGCGCGGCCCCCGUCUAAGUUCCUUGGAACAGGACGUCAGAGAGGGUGAGAAUCCCGUCUUGGGCGGGCGGCCCGCGCCCGUGUGAAGCUCCUUCGACGAGUCGAGUUGUUUGGGAAUGCAGCUCUAAGCGGGUGGUAAAUUUCAUCUAAAGCUAAAUACCGGCCGGAGACCGAUAGCGCACAAGUAGAGUGAUCGAAAGGUUAAAAGCACCUUGAAAAGGGAGUUAAACAGCACGUGAAAUUGUUGAAAGGGAAGCGCUUGCGGCCAGACUCGGGGGGCGGGGUUCAGCGGGCGCUCGUCGCCCGUGCACUGCCCGCUCCCCGGGCCAGCAUCAGCUUCGACGGCCGGUCAAAGGCCCCCGGAAUGUGUCGUCUCUAGGGACGUCUUAUAGCCGGGGGUGCAAUGCGGCCCGUCGAGACUGAGGAACGCGCUCCGGCUCGGAUGCUGGCGUAAUGGCCGUAA
rnacentral:rRNA from 1 species